UACAGAGGUCCCAAGCGUUGUUCGGAUUCAUUGGGCGUAAAGGGUGCGUAGGCGGUGCGGUAAGUCGGGUGUGAAAUCUCGGGGCUUAACUCCGAAACUGCAUUCGAUACUGCCGUGCUUGAGGACUGGAGAGGAGACUGGAAUUUACGGUGUAGCGGUGAAAUGCGUAGAUAUCGUAAGGAAGACCAGUGGCGAAGGCGGGUCUCUGGACAGUUCCUGACGCUGAGGCACGAAGGUCAGGGGAGCAAACGGG
rnacentral:rRNA from 1 species